CACGUAGGGCGCGAGCGUUUGUCCGGAAUUAUUGGGGCGUAAAGAGCGUCGUAGGCGGCCUGUUGCGUCCGCUGUGAAAGCCCGGGGCUUAACCCCGGGUCUGCAGUGGAUACGGGCAGGCUAGAGGUAGGUAGGGGAGAAUGGAAUUCCCGGUGUAGAGGUGAAAUUCGUAGAUAUUGGGAAGAACACCGGUGGCGAAGGCGGCUCACUGGCUCGUAACUGACGCUCAUGCACGACAGCGUGGGGAUCAAACAGG
rnacentral:rRNA from 1 species